UACGUAGGGUGCGAGCGUUAAUCGGAAUUACUGGGCGUAAAGCGUGCGCAGGCGGCGCCAUAAGACAGAUGUGAAAUCCCCGGGCUUAACCUGGGAACUGCGUUUGUGACUGUGGUGCUCGAGUGCGGCAGAGGGGGGUGGAAUUCCACGUGUAGCAGUGAAAUGCGUAGAGAUGUGGAGGAACACCGAUGGCGAAGGCAGCCCCCUGGGUCGACACUGACGCUCAUGCACGAAAGCGUGGGGAGCAAACAGG
rnacentral:rRNA from 1 species